UCUGGUGUCAGCCGCCGCGGUAAAACCAGCACCUCAAGUGGUCAGGAUGAUUAUUGGGCCUAAAGCAUCCGUAGCCUGCUUUGUUAGUUUUCGGUUAAAUCCAUACGCUCAACGUAUGGGCUGCCGGGAAUACUGCAAAGCUAGGGAGUGGGAGAGGUAGACGGUACUCGGUAGGAAGGGGUAAAAUCCUUUGAUCUAUUGAUGACCACCUGUGGCGAAGGCGGUCUACCAGAACACGUCCGACGGUGAGGGAUGAAAGCUGGGGGAGCAAACCGGAUUAGAUACCCGGGUAGUCCCAGCUGUAAACUAUGCAAACUCGGUGAUGCAUUGGCUUGAUGCCAAUGCGGUGCCGCAGGGAAGCCGUUAAGUUUGCCGCCUGGGAAGUACGUACGCAAGUAUGAAACUUAAAGGAAUUGGCGGGGGAGCACCACAAGGGGUGAAGCCUGCGGUUCAAUUGGAGUCAACGCCAGAAAUCUUACCCGGAGAGACAGCAGAAUGAAGGUCAAGCUGAAGACUUUACCAGACAAGCU
rnacentral:rRNA from 2 species